rnacentral:rRNA from 1 species
UCCUGGCUCAGNUUGAACGCUGGCGGAAUGCUUUACACAUGCAAGUCGAGCGGCAGCGCGGGGGCAACCUGGCGGCGAGCGGCGAACGGGUGAGUAAUGUAUCGGAACGUACCCAGUCGUGGGGGAUAACUAUCCGAAAGGAUAGCUAAUACCGCAUACGUCCUGAGGGAGAAAGCGGGGGAUCGCAAGACCUUCGCGCGAUUGGAGCGGCCGAUAUCGGAUUAGCUAGUUGGUGAGGUAAAGGCUCACCAAGGCGACGAUCCGUAGCUGGUCUGAGAGGACGACCAGCCACACUGGAACUGAGACACGGUCCAGACUCCUACGGGAGGCAGCAGGUGGGGUAAUUUUGGACAAUGGGGGCAACCCUGAUCCAGCCAUUCCGCGUGAGUGAAGAAGGCCUUCGGGUUGUAAAGCUCUUUCGGCAGGAACGAAACGGUGGGCUCUAACAUAGCCUGCUAAUGACGGUACCUGAAGAAGAAGCACCGGCUAACUACGUG